GAAUGUAAGGGCCAUCUGGCUGCAACAUCUUUCACCCCACUGAUCACCAGGGUUUAUUUGGCUGAUGUGGCUGGCUGAGGGGGGAGGGGUGCCCACUUCCUCCCUCAUUGCUCCAUGUGCAUUGCUCUGGAAGCUGUGUCCUGGGUCUAAGAAGACAACCAUAUCCAGUAGAGGAGAACAGGUCUUCUUUCAAGAGGAUACGAGUAGCUGUGCUUCCCUGCUAGAACCUCCAAACCAGCUCAAGGACAGGCUAUCAAACGGUCCCAUGUGGUAAAAACAAUAAAUAAUGGCUCUCCUGGAACAUUUUCCUGU
rnacentral:snRNA from 1 species